ACGACCUUACUUGAACAGGAUCUGUUCUAUAGGCUCGUACCACUGUAUCCUUGAGUUCUAAGGAGACCAGAAACCAAGUUUGGAGGAUGAAUCGUGGCUAUGAGACUAGAGCGUGAUUACCAGCCUCCAUGGCCUUUGGCCGGGUCAUGGUGUUGUAGAUGAUCGUUCUCUACCUGGUCCACUGGGCUUGAGAUGGUCUUGUGGCUAUCUGACAGACU
rnacentral:snoRNA from 1 species